CAUAGGUUAAUGAGGCGAACCGGGGGAACUGAAACAUCUAAGUACCCCGAGGAAAAGAAAUCAACCGAGAUUCCCCCAGUAGCGGCGAGCGAACGGGGAGCAGCCCAGAGCCUGAAUCAGUAUGUGUGUUAGUGGAAGCGUCUGGAAAGGCGCGCGAUACAGGGUGACAGCCCCGUACACAAAAAUGCACAUGCUGUGAGCUCGAUGAGUAGGGCGGGACACGUGGUAUCCUGUCUGAAUAUGGGGGGACCAUCCUCCAAGGCUAAAUACUCCUGACUGACCGAUAGUGAACCAGUACCGUGAGGGAAAGGCGAAAAGAACCCCGGCGAGGGGAGUGAAAAAGAACCUGAAACCGUGUACGUACAAGCAGUGGGAGCACGCUUAGGCGUGUGACUGCGUACCUUUUGUAUAAUGGGUCAGCGACUUAUAUUCUGUAGCAAGGUUAACCGAAUAGGGGAGCCGAAGGGAAACCGAGUCUUAACUGGGCGUUAAGUUGCAGGGUAUAGACCCGAAACCCGGUGAUCUAGCCAUGGGCAGGUUGAAGGUUGGGUAACACUAACUGGAGGACCGAACCGACUAAUGUUGAAAAAUUAGCGGAUGACUUGUGGCUGGGGGUGAAAGGCCAAUCAAACCGGGAGAUAGCUGGUUCUCCCCGAAAGCUAUUUAGGUAGCGCCUCGUGAAUUCAUCUCCGGGGGUAGAGCACUGUUUCGGCAAGGGGGUCAUCCCGACUUACCAACCCGAUGCAAACUGCGAAUACCGGAGAAUGUUAUCACGGGAGACACACGGCGGGUGCUAACGUCCGUCGUGAAGAGGGAAACAACCCAGACCGCCAGCUAAGGUCCCAAAGUCAUGGUUAAGUGGGAAACGAUGUGGGAAGGCCCAGACAGCCAGGAUGUUGGCUUAGAAGCAGCCAUCAUUUAAAGAAAGCGUAAUAGCUCACUGGUCGAGUCGGCCUGCGCGGAAGAUGUAACGGGGCUAAACCAUGCACCGAAGCUGCGG
rnacentral:rRNA from 1 species